AUGGACCUAUUUCUGCUCAGGCUCACUCUCAGUUCAGUCCCAUUGCAAGAGAACAUUACUGCACUUCGGACUCAGGGAGACGCUGAUGAAAUAAGAGUGCCUGUCGACUCAAAUGGAAAAGGUUGUUGGCUGCUCCUUUAUGACAAACUUAGCACCAGAAAUAUGGUGCAGAGGAAAACAUUUUAUCUUAACUCUUACAGUUGUAUCCUUUGCCAUGAACAGCUGAAGAAUCUCAGCUUCAUCUCUUCUAGAACUACUGUUUUUCUCAGGCAUGCUGGAAAUGCUUUUCUACCUCACAAGCUCAUCGGGAUGUCAACCUUUGAUGAAAUUAAGCUUGCAAGAAUAGCCAUUAACACUCCAUUUAGCAUGGGUAUAGUCAUUCCAUGCUGUUUGAACGUAUAG
rnacentral:rRNA from 1 species